AGUUUCCUGUGUGUUUCAUGUUUUCUGUUGUUUCAGGGAGGAGAUGUGGCCCUGGGGUUAGGAGCUGAGAGAAGAGAGAGUUCUGCCAGAACUCUGGGAUCAGCACAUCACAGCUCUGUAGAUGAAACACUGGCAAUCGCAGCAUGACCAAAAAAAGGGACAGCACUGGCAAUUCCCAAAGAUCCCUGCCAUGAAGGGUGUACUUCAGAGCUGGUUCAACAGGAUAGGAUGAGGAGAAGAAAUUGGGAUUGUUUCCUUUAGAAAGAACAUUCUAGUCAGGGAGGUGGUGGAGUCCCCAUUCCUGAAAGCUUUCAAGAACUGUAGAGAUGUUGGAUUUGGAAAAGUCCUCUCAGAUCCCCAACCUUAAUGACUCAACGAUUCUAAACCACCCCCCACCAUCCAGGAAGAGCCAGGCAGUGCUGACCCAGCCUCAAAGCUAAGGACAGAAUAAUCUCUCCAGCUCUUCUCAGCUGCCUACAUUACAACUGCUUCUAACCUGGUAGUGACACUGGAGAUCAGAGCACCCUUUGUGUAAACACUCUUGAGGUUUAGAGUUUAGUCAACAGAAACCACCUGUUUUUGUGAGCCUCUCUGCCUAUAAACAUUCACCCACCCCUGAUCACCAGCCACCCCCUUGGCAUCUCCCCUGACCUCCCAGGAGUCACAAGAAGUGGGAGGAAAGACAUCAGCAUGCAACAAGCUGUUAUGAUCAGGACAAGAAGCAAUUGGUGCUUGGAACAGCUGUGAGAGUGGGAUCCUAAACCCAAAGCAGGGCUUGGGAUCCCAUGGGGAGUAGCCCCAAGCCAAGGUCCAACUCAAAUAGAACUGGGUCCCAAGAACAUGUGUGGAAAUGUGCAGUGACACUGGGUGAUGCUGGCUUGGGAGGAUGAGCUAUGCCUUCCCAGGCAAAGAGAAAAGAUAAAGAGCUUCCCAAUGCAAUCAUUUCUUUUCUGGGAUAACCAUAGAAAAUCUGCCAUCCAUUAUGAACCUUAAUCAAUCUCAAAACUACAAACAUUCAUUUUGAUGGAAAUGGUAGGAAAAAUAAAUAAAUAAAAAUUUCCUCUUCACUGCAGAAGUUGUUGCCCCAGCUUUCACUUCUUCAUUUAGAUGAGAGUCGAAUGGAACUUCUUACUGGAUGCUGAUGAAGAAGUUCCUAUUCUAACUGGAAAAGAGGAUAUUUCGAUGAAUUACACAGAAUUGCAGCUCAGCAAAAAGUAGAAAGCUUGUGUUAGAGUGUAUUUAAGGAAUUUUAAUAUAAGGAAGUGAUCUAAAGGGAGAGUGAAGAAAUGACUUAUGGUUUUAAUUCGCCUGUGGUAGAAGACAUCUGUAUUCAUAUGACUUUCUAAUGUGGCAGAGAAAUCAAAAGCCAGUGUGGAGAGAGAAAGAGAGAAAGCACAACUUGAUUUCUCAUUGGGAGCACUUCCAAGUGAAGAUUUCAGAAUAGCUGCUGGGGGCACAGCAGGGCAGAAAACACAGCUUUACAAAUAAAAAUGCAAAAAAGGUAGCUGAAGAUGAAGUGCCUUUUGUUAAUGUGAAGGCAGGUCAAAAAAGUUACGGUCAAAUAUGCAGCACAAUUAAAAGUGUUGUAGCAGCAGAUGGGUGCAUAGGUGACCAGCCAGAUCUAUGGAAAGAGGAGACAACUGCCUUAGUGUGUGAUUGGCUUUAGGAAACCUUCCCCAGCUCUGCAUUGUUUGCCCAGAGGAAAAUGCCCACUGGUUGAUGAAAGUGGGAUGUAUUAAUGGCCACAGGUCAAGGCAGAGGAAUAUCCCUGCACCUCUUCUGGGAGAUGCUGCCAGACUUCUGGACCCCUGUGCACUGCAGCUCUCCUGCCCUCACUGUGCUCCAAUAUGGGACAGAAGGAAACACAGAGCAAGGAAACCACAGGCAAGAAGAAUUGAAAGAAACUGCCAACACCGCAAUCCUGUGCAAGUGCAGUGAAAGCCACGCGUUAUGCAACAUCCGUCUGGGAAGCAACACUUGUCAUUGAUAAAAAUUAUGCAAAGAAGUCCCGUGGCUGGAGGAAAAGGAAAAUGCAGAUCAGCCAAACGGCCUCGCCCUGCAGUGAGACGCUGCUGACCUUCUCAUACAUCGUUAUACAGAGAAAUCCAGCAAAGCUAAAUUCCUGAACCAAUUCCUGCUGAUAUUUUUCCUUUUUAUUUGAAGCCUUGGAUGCUACCAUCACACUCAGGAUCUUGUGCCAUGCCCUGUAGAGACCCACAGCAGGUAUUUUUCUAUGGUCCUAAAUCCAACUCGUGGUUGUUCUCCCUCCUUGAGUCCACUCUGAGCUGAAAACACUCAGUUCCACAGCCAGGGGCAUGGGGACCCAGGACUCAAGUAUCUCUUGCUCCUUGAACAAAGUAAAUACGCUUAAUAUAUAAGUACAUAUAAUUAUGGGAAAUGAAUGAAACACUUUGUGCAAGGAACAAGUGUUUAUAUAAGAAAGAAGGACCCUACUUCACAUAAAUAUAAAUACAUACCCUCAACAAAUAGCAGGAUUCUGAGCACAAGGUACAGCAGAACACUCAAGUCAGAAGCUGAUUUGCCAGCCCCCAGGCAGCUCCUUGCCACAGUGUCAAGCUUUGCUCUACCCCGCUACCACCAAGCAGCCCCCACAGUUUCCCCUAUGCUGCCCCACAUCCAGCUCUUUGCCUCUUACAGCUUGCGCCUGGGGUCCCAAAUUCACCCCUGCAGUCAGGUGGAGCAAAGCCCUUGGGCUGCUUCUCUGCAGCUUUGGCUCUGCAAGGGCACAUGGACUCUGGUCCCCCUCAGUUACAGCCCUAUAGCUCUUCUGUACAAUUUGGCUGAGGCAGCAGCUCUCAGCACUGCCCCUGCAGAGAUCUGCCCACAUGAACACUCCAUUGGGACAUUAAGAGGGGAAAAAAGUCUGUCUGCAAAAAGCAAUUUCAAUUAUGAGUUUGCAGAUACUGAGUAUCCUCCUGCACCCAGACACAGAUUGCAUAAGCUCCAGUUACAUUAAAAUGGGCUAAAAAUAAAGUACUAUCUAAACUUGCAUAGCUGAGGUUAUCUCGUAGCCAGGCACGUGCUUCAGUCUUUCUUUUCUGCUUUGCCCUUGAUGAGACUUUCUACCAGUUCCACGUUCACUGUGCCUUGUGUCAAAAUAUCUCUUUUUGAUAUAUCAUUUCUUUCAUUAAAUUGUUUUAACCGCAUCCCUUUCUUCUCCUGCAUGAAAGGGUAAAUAAUCAGUGUCGAAUGAUUCUAUUUAAGCUCCCUUCAUCUAUUUGCCCCACUCUUUUCAGUCUUUCAUCUUCAAGUCUCUGAAUGCUUUCAUCACCUGCCUCAAAGCCUUCUGUGUCGGCUGUAUCCUUCUCUGAGUCACAACGAGAUGAAUGUGGCAUUCAGAGAUCAUCCCACUGGUUUCUACAACAACAUUAUGGGAUUUGGAGAAUUACUUUCUGUCCUAUCCUUCAUGCUUUCCUAUAUGUGGAUUAAUCCUCAUACUUGGGGCAUUGAUAUCGUCUCAAGAAAAUAAGAGAUAUUAAGUCCUUUAUUAUUGAUCCUUGAUUUUAAUCCUGUAAAGAACUUGGCCCAGAGAGGUUGUGGAUGGCCCAUCUCUGGAGGUAUUCAAGGUUGGAUGGGGCCCUGGGUGGCCUGAUCUAGCAGCUGACCAUCAGUGUAUGGCAGGGGGUUGGAACUAAAUCUUUUAGGUCCCCUCCAAUCUUAGCUAUUCUAUGAUUCUAUCAUUCUACUAUGAUUCUAACAUUCUAAAGAAAAUGGCAUUUAGGUGAGAAGAGAAAAGGAAGAGAGAUUUCUAAGUUACGUGGGCUAAAUACUCAGGAUGCAAAUAUCUUUAAAACCUGGCCAUCUUCUCCUAAGCAGCUGUAAUUCUUUUGACCUUAGGUAUAGAAACCAGUAUUUCAAAUGACCCUUGAAUGCAUUUGCCAACAGUGACCAUCCAGCAUGUUGCUCAGUCAUAGAAUUGCAGGCUCACAGAAUCACUGAAGUUGGAAAGGAUCUCUAUGAUCAUCCAGUCCAACCAUCUACCUAUCCCUAACAUUGCCCACUAAACUCCCUUAAACCCUAAUCUUCUCCAACCCUGACUGAUGGAAAUAAUCUUGUAUUUUGCAAACAUUUGCCUUCCAUUGAACUCAUCUUCUCCAGAUCCUCAUGAACUGCACAAGAUGUGAUAAAUCAGCAGCACAUCACGCACCGACGCUAACCUCAUCACUUCCUUUUAUAAGUUCACAGAUAUCUGCAACAAAGGAAAUGCAGUAGAUCUCACUUGUCUGGGCUCCAGUAAGACAUUUGAGAUGGUGCCACACAGUAAAUUAUUAGCUAACGAGGAGGAGAUGUGACUGGCAUACAUAACGUAACGUGGGUAAGAGAGCUGCCUGAAAGGAGCAUGGUAACAGCUUCAGCUGGAAGUGGAAAUGCUGGACUGAGGGGAGGGUUACCAGUACAGUUCCUUGAAUUUCUGUGUCAAAAAAAAAAAAAGAUUCUGCUUAACAUUUGCAUUAAUGAUCUUGGCACAAAAAGCAGAAGAACGCAAAGGAAAUUUGCUGAUGAGGCAGAAUGAGAUGCUAUCAUCAAUCCAGGAGCGGCCAGGAUAUCACAGAGAAAGAUUACAAUGACCUUGAGGACUGGAGUAAUGGGGAAGGAUUUGAUUCAGUGGUGCAGACUGUACAACGCUGCUUCUGGGAACAACAGAGGGCAAGAACAGCCAUCCCUGUGCUGGAGCCCAUGGCAACGUCUGGGGCAGGGAAAGACCCAUGCUACAAAUUAUAGGAUUGGGACAAGGCCCCAGUGUUAUACAGCAUGAGAAGAAGCAAAUGCAAUGAGCUCGGGGUAGGGACUAGGAAACAAGGGGUUCUGGCUGAUCUGAGGGAAACCAUCACAGAAGCCAACACCUGGGUGGAAAAGAGCUAUUUCAGCUAGUGAGCACUGCUGGUAUAAUGAUACAGGGCUAGAAGCUGGCUGUCAAUGCAAACAGGUGGGAAAUUACAUUUUCACCUGGAAGCAGGCAGUUUCUCAGAUGGUCUUCAGGUGAGCAGGACAGAAAAUGCCAUCACCGUCCUGAUGGACACAGUCCUGUUGACUUUCCUCCUGAAUGCAGGCUGAUUAUCUUUAGGCCUGUGCACAGCUGCCUUUUGGAGCCCUAUUUUAAAAGCUGUCCCUAGCCACAAUGCUGUUUUGAAGUGAGAAGUUCCAUGGGGCCAUACCAAGUCAGUCUGUUAUCCCAGGGCAAUUGCUGCAUUCACUUAUUGUCCUCCAGAACGGGAGGUGACUUUGGUGGUUAUCUUCUCCAAAUCAUCUCUUGUGAGUCCCUCAGAGCUUCCUAGGCUGAUUCUCUGGUGAGUCAAAAGAUUCUUACAACACUGCUUUAAAUGAUCAGUCUAUUUCUAUUGAGUUCCUCUUUUUUUUUUUCCUGGAAUCUCCCUUCUAGGCUUACUGGUACAUUAUUUCAGGGUUCAGCUUGCAUGCCUUUCCCCUUGCUUCUCUCAUCCCCAGGAUGCAGGGCUGCGUCACAAGGUUAUUUAAUGGUCUCCCACUUCUAUGCCCCCAACCAGCACCCACAGCGUUUCCCUACUCCCUGGCCAGCCAUGAAGCUCUCUUUGGACAGUCUCUUCCACUUCUCAGCUGCAGAGGAGUGUUUUUCCAUAGAAUCAUUAAUGUUGGAAAGGCCUCUAAGAUCAGCCAGUUCAACCAUCCACCUACCACCAAUACUGACCACAUCCUUCAG